GGUGAAGAAAUGCAAUUUUAAGAAGUGAUGCUGUCACUGUCUGGGGGCACAGAGCAACAGAGUUGGUUUUUGAAUGAUACAUUUAUGUGCUGAACAAAGUCAAAAGUAAGA